CCUACGGGCGGCAGCAGUGAGGAAUAUUGGUCAAUGGUCGGGAGACUGAACCAGCCAAGCCGCGUGAGGGAUGAAGGUACAGAGUAUCGUAAACCUCUUUUGUCAGGGAACAAAGGCGGGGACGCGUGCCCGUAUGUGUGUACCUUAAGAAAAAGCAUCGGCUAACUCCGUGCCAGCAGCCGCGGUAAUACGGAGGAUGCGAGCGUUAUCCGGAUUUAUUGGGUUUAAAGGGAGCGUAGGCGGGUCGUUAAGUCAGCGGUCAAAGCUCGGGGCUCAACCCCAGAACUGCCGUUGAAACUGGCAGUCUCGAGUUGGAGAGAAGUAUGCGGAAUGCGCGGUGUAGCGGUGAAAUGCAUAGAUAUCGCGCAGAACUCCGAUUGCGAAGGCAGCAUGCUGGCUCCACACUGACGCUGAGGCACGAAAGCGUGGGUAUCGAACAGGAUUAGAUACCCGAGUAGUC
rnacentral:rRNA from 1 species